UGGGGAAUAUUGCACAAUGGGCGAAAGCCUGAUGCAGCAACGCCGCGUGAGUGAUGAAGGCCUUCGGGUUGUAAAGCUCUGUCUUCUGGGACGAUAAUGACGGUACCAGAGGAGGAAGCCACGGCUAACUACGUGCCAGCAGCCGCGGUAGUACGUAGGUGGCAAGCGUUGUCCGGAUUUACUGGGCGUAAAGGAUGCGUAGGCGGAUACUUAAGUCAGAUGUGAAAAUCCCGGGCUUAACUUGGGAACUGCAUUUGAAACUGGGUAUCUAGAGUGCGGGAGAGGAUAGUGGAAUUCCUAGUGUAGCGGUGAAAUGCGUAGAGAUUAGGAAGAACACCAGUGGCGAAGGCGACUUUCUGGACCGUAACUGACGCUGAGGCAUGAAAGCGUGGGGAGCAAACA
rnacentral:rRNA from 1 species